GGCUCGGUGGUGUAGUUGGUUAUCACGUCAGUCUAACAUCGUUAGUUCACUGAAGGUCCCGAGGUGAGUUAUCCAAUGAUAAAGCCCAGAAUCAUUUUCUGACUGAACAACAGUUCAAGCCUCGGCUGAGUCA